ensembl:lncRNA
CGGGAAGAUGAGGGCUGGGUUAAGCCCCUCACGCGGUGUGAUGCGGUGGUUUGAGGAGUUGAGAAAUCAACACGGCUUAAUUGAUACUUCACAGAGCUGCAGCACUGCGGCGAUCGGUGGAGAAAGAGGGCUUUUUGCUGCUGCUUUUAGAGGAAUAUCCGAGCAGUUCACGUAGCACCAGGCGGGAGUCCAGCAGCUCCGGUGCUGCAGGAUGAACAAAAGAAGAGAUGUGAAUGCGCUGUGAUAGAAAUGAAGUUCACGGCCAUGGAAACUGUUUGACUGGAAGAUCAAGAAAUCAAGUGAGAGAUCGGACUGCUGGUCCCCUUGGUGCUGAGGUCCCUGCUGCUCUCUUUGCACGUGUGCUGCUGUGAAUUGGGGUACCAUGCAGAGGCCAGAGGUCAUGCCAGGCGGUGAGGAACUGCAGCUCAUGGGAGCGCAGCACUGGGAGAGCUCUUCGGUGUUCUGGAGCAUUGCAUGGGCUUUGCUGGUGCGAGCACGGAGCAUUGCAUGGCCUUUCCUACAGAUUCUUUGCUUAGUUCUAGAAAUGAAGGAAGGUGAAGCUGUUCCUAACAUCCAUUUGCAAGCAUCAGGAGAUACUCUUCACAAAAAGCCAAAAUCUAGGAAUGCUUAUUGGCAUCCACCUCGGACUGAGCGCCGUUUCCCUGCUUGUGUAUUCAGAGCAGCUGUGCUGGAGCCACCCUCGUAAAUCAGUGCAGCUCUGCUGUCUUCCAGCUUGAUUGUUACUGUGAAAUGUGAAAAGAAUGGAAUGGUCUUUCCUUCGCUCCAGACCCAUGAGAGAGGCUGAAAACUCUGCAGAUGUGGUCAGCUGAGAGCAGCCACUGGGGCUGGAUGUCCUUAACUGCACUGCUCCUAACUGCUGCUCCAUCGUCCUGGGAAGUGUGACGGUAAAGAGGAAAAGCUGUCCAGAUUUAAUGCCCAGAUUUCAAUUCCAAAUGCUGCAAGAGAAUGCAUCACUGAACUCUUUUGCCAGAUGGGGUAACUGAGGCACGAGGUGCACAGGGAUCUUCCCGGGUGUCUCCUGCUGCUGGGGAUGCCAUGGACUGGAGGGAUGCUCUAUCUCAUGGUGGACUGACUCUGGCAUUUCCCAUGGAAUCCCACCUUCCUGGGAGCCCAAUGUGGCCAUUCUGCUGUUUGAAAGCUCAGCCGUUGGACCUGGAGAGAAUUGGGCUUUUCUUUAUGAUGGAGAUGUCACAUUCUGGUCUUUCUGACAGUGGGCAACAGAGUUGGAAACAGAGAUCAACGCUGCGCCAAGGAUUCUGAACUGGAAAAUAGAAGUCAGCCUCGAGCUUUGCAAGCUCCAUCAUUUGUGCAGUAAUCUCAAGGCUGGGCUGGGGGUGUCCCCAGCAUUGCUGUCCCAGGCCAUGGGGGCUUCUGAUAUUGUAGUGUAGAAGUGCUGAGUGUUUCUUCACUGCAUCUGACAACUGCCAGGAGCUCACUUCCCAGCACGCAUGCAGAAUUGGCCACAGUGGUGUUGGGGGAAAUUGUCCCCAGGAGCACAAGUGAAUGCACAAGAUCUUUCCUGUAGUAUUUUGGAUAUCAAUUUCAGUUCUGGAAUCCAAACAAAUAUGAGUCAGGAGAGGAGCAAGAAGCUGUUGGGGAAGCAGAAGUCUCCACAGACCUGAGGAGAGGAUGGCACAAGACCCAUAUCUGUGCUCAGAGAAGGAAGAAAGGCUCCUCGGGAGGAGGGGACACCCCUCAGUGCUCUUGCAGAUCAUCUCAGAACCCCUUCAGGACAAUGAUGAAGCGUAUCCUCAGCCCAGCCGUCCUCCCCUUGGCAGGGCGAGCACCGGGCAGCACAGCUUGUCAUCACCUCCCCAGGAGAGCACUGAGGGUGCACAGGGCAGGAUGGCUCCUCAGGCGAAAUGAUGCAUUGCCCUGAGCUGCUCCUCUGCGGGGAGUCAAAGGGGAGAGACAUGGUGAGCUGCUCCCAGGGGGAAGCUGUGAAAUUCUCCUCCCGGGGUCUGGGCAGAGCUGCCCAGCAGCAGGAAAAACCUGCAUCUGCUGGCCAUUGUGUCAGUGGGAGAGGAAGGGCUGGAAGGGAGCUGCUCCAAGUUCUUAUCUUUGCUUUGCCAGU